AAUUCUCAAAUCUCUAUCAGUUUUUCUGGUAUGGGACUUUGGAUGUGGGGGUUUGCAGGCUUUGCUUAAGUCUGCUCCUCUUAAAUACAUUAGUGGUUACUGAUUGACCAUAUCCUGGUGUGAUAAUAUCUACUCCAAGGGUUGGUUAGUAUUUUAAAGUAGCUGCUUCAAACAGUCUAUUAACUUGGACAACUUUGAACC
rnacentral:misc_RNA from 1 species